AACUCUCGUAAAGUGAAAUAUGAAAACAAAACAAAAACAAAAUUCGCGUGAGCUCGAUCGUCCGAUUUUGGUUUUGUUUAAAUUUGUAAUGUUAUUAGCCUAUUAUUAGAGAACAGUUAAUGCAUCCAGUGUGUAAACAGCCGAGCCACCGCCAAAAAGAAACUGAAAUAUAACAGGCUUCAAUUUGUGUUUUUCGACGGUACCGAGGAAAUAUACGAGUCGAAGAAACUUUUCUAGCUUUCGGAGGAAUUAUUCCAAUCGACUUGCAAACGCACUGCCGAGAAAGUAAGAAAAAUACGUCCAUUUUUGCGCAGAUGUUCUGCGAAACAGCACCAACGAGGAACCGAUUAAAUUGAUCAAGCUUGAGGUGAAGACGUCCAUUCGGUGUAACAAUCGGAACAGACUAUGCCCAGGAAGCUCUCAGCAGUAUAAUCAGCCUUAUCAGGAAUGACAGACGGCUGUCCUUCGGAAAUAGUGACCCAACCAGUACCAGAUGCGAUGACAGAAACCAUUACGAAGGAGGUUCAAAAUCUAGAACUAGGUGGCUAUGUGUUGCAGUACAAAGCGGAGAAUAGUUUGAAGAUGACCAUGGUCGGUUGGCGUGAAUCCCAAAGUCUGCGGACGUACUUCGAUCAACACGAUACGGUCCACAAGUAGUGGUUGUUGGGAGCGGACAUGUCGAAAUACUAGAAAAAUAAGUUUGACGAAUGGAAGGAAACUACCGUGAAUCAGAUGGUUAAGAUUCCGUUCUAUAUAUUUUGGAGUUGCCCAACUUGAAUAUAGGUGUUCCUUAUACAACAUUAAUUUAUAGAAUGAAUACAUAUUUAGCAAGCAUAAA